rnacentral:lncRNA from 1 species
GAAAUCUACAUCACAAACUAUGUUACAUUGUCCUGUGAUGUCAGAGGAAACAACUAUCCAUUUUAAUUCCUCAGAUGGAUCUGGCCGCCAUGACUCGGUUGAGGAAAACACUCUCAAUUGCUAUCUUGAACCUCUCCGGUGUAGAGUCCACAGAUUGGGGUACCUCCCACAACCUGCCACGCCAGGCUUUGACGAAAAUCCUUCCUAAAUUUCAGAAGUGCCAAAAGGAGAGAUCAGUCCUGGAAGUUAGCCUGUAAGCAGAGUGGGUAGCAAGGAAUGAGGUUACGGAAAUUAAGAUAUCCCUGAAUAGGAAACACCUGAUACACAGACAGACAGACAGACAGACAGACACACACACACACACACACACACACACACACACACACACACACACUGUGCACAGCAAGGGUAUGCCCUCUGGCCACACUUGGCCUGAACAACUGUCCCUCCUUCCUACCCUGACCCCGGUUCUCCGGUUAGGCGAAGGACAAACCAGUACACACCAGGAUUCUGCACGUCACUGUCCUCCAUCAGUCUAAAACACUUUUGACACAUGACACAAAGCUCUCUAUGAAACACCUUAGGGGAAGUGUACUUCAGAUAGGUAAAAUAAAUCCUAGGCCAGAGGAACCGGCUUCUUCCUAAGCCCUCUUACCUGUUAGAAACCAGAGACACAGCAAGAAAUUUCUCAUACAGAAGGAUGCCAGUGUAUAUGAGCUUGUGAUUGCCAGUGCUCUGAUUAGCCUCUAAUUGCUUUCGGCAAAACACAAAGCUGUCAUAUACAACAAGGUAACCGGCAGUAUCCUCUCAAAGCUCAAGAAUGACCCUAGCCUAUUUACUAUAAAGUGUGUCAGUGUGAGAAUGUACUUUGCCAAAUGUAUUUUUCUGCUUUUGAAUUGGCCAAAAGAUUUCAGUAUAUUUAUUCUACAAACAUUACUACACACACGCAUGCGCAUGCACACACGCACGCACACACACACUCACAUCUGAUAUAUAUAUAUAUGUAUAUAUGCCAAUAAUUGACCUUUACCUCAGGGAGAGUUAGUUUAAAUCUACACAAGGGAAAUUAGUGGUCCCCCUAAGUAGAUCCAAACAGUCAUACCCCAUCAUGGAUCGGUCUGGCCAGAAUGUUUUGGAGAGAAAGUCAGAGCAAAAAGAAAGCUAGGAGCUUCUUCUCCGUGGGCUCUAAACGAUCCAAGAAUGGUAGGCAACUAUGCUUUCUUUCCCCAUGGCCCCGAUGGGCCCCUCUCCUCCCUGCACAUCUGUGUCUUCAUCUAUAAAAUGGGGGUGAUGCUUUCAUAGUGGCCUUACCCCUUCCUACCUCACAGACGUGUUGUGAGGAUUAAUGAAAUUGUGUCUACAGUGUUUUCAACCGGAGAAAAACUAUUUAUGGACACUUCAAGUAUUACGUAGAUAUAUAAGUGAUCUCAGUUUCUUACUUGCUGUUAGACUAGUGUGCUGGUUUUACUUCCUUUAUGAAACUACAGUCAAUGUCAUGGCCACCUCAGAUGGCUAUCAGAGCUCUGAACUUCCCUCCUGUGCACCGGGCUGAUGCAGGUUUAACUGUUCCUGGAACUACAGAGGAUAUCUCCCCUCCAACUGAGAAGAUGGCCCAGGACACAGGUCUCAGAGACCUGCAUUAGGAUCCAGGUCAGGAUGGCACAUGUCAACAUUGCGGAAGAAGGCCUCGGACUUCCACACCCCGAGCUCUCAGAGGACUUAGACUAUGGGCUGAUGCCAUCUAUUUGCCCUUCAUCUUGCUUGCAAGGGUGCAUGGUUGGAUCCUAUGCAUCUUGAAAAAUGAAUUUUGUGAUUGGUCUGGAUGCUAAUUUGCACGUCGAUUCACCUUCUUUGCCUUUAACCUUCUUUUGAGGGCAAAUGGAUGUACCAUUUCA